rnacentral:rRNA from 1 species
CCUACGGGUGGCUGCAGUGAGGAAUAUUGGUCAAUGGCCGGAAGGCUGAACCAGCCAUGCCGCGUGAAGGUCAGUGCCCUAUGGGCGUUAAACUUCUUUUGUGCGGGAGCAAUAAUGGUCACGUGUGGCCAGACGAGAGUACCGUACGAAUAAGCAUCGGCUCAAUCCGUGCCAGCAGCCGCGGUAAUACGGGGGAUGCAAGCGUUAUCCGGAUUUAUUGGGUUUAAAGGGUGCGUAGGGGGUGCGGUAAGUCAGCGGGGAAAUGCCCCCGCUCAACGGGGUGAAGUGCCAUUGAUACUGCCUGGCUGGAAUGCGGAUGCGGUGGGAGGAAUGUGUGGUGUAGCGGUGAAAUGCAUAGAUAUCACACAGAACACCGAUUGCGAAGGCAGCUCACGAAUCCGCGAUUGACGCUGAUGCACGAAAGCGUGGGUAUCAAACAGGAUUAGAUACCCUUGUAGUC